GCGCUCAUGGCCAAAUGGUAAGGCGCGUGACUAGUAAUCACGGUAAGUCAAUUGCAAAUCAAGAGAAAAAUUCUAAUGACUAAUCCAUUCUUAGAGAUUCUAGGUUCGAUUCCUAGUGGGCGCA
rnacentral:tRNA from 1 species